CACCUGACCAGCCACUCCCCUGCCACACGGAUGUGUGAAGAUACGCACAGUUCAGUUGGUAUCUGAGUAGUUGCCGACAAGAGGUCAUCUGACUUGAUGUAGCUACCUGUAUUGGCUGGCUGGUAUCCAUGCUCUCCACUUGACCCACUUGGUGUUAUUUAUCAUGUCCUGUUACGUUGUAUUUAAACACACUCUACAACCUUGGUCUGUCGUAUACCAUCAGGGCACGAAGCAGGACUGCCUCACUCACCCAUCGUAUACCGCCAGGGCAUGAGGUAAUGCUGCCUCACUCCCACAUCGUAUACCGCCAGGGCCCGAAGAAAGACUGCCUCACUCACUCGUCGUAUACCGCCAGGGCAUGAGCCUUCCGACUAAGGCAGGACGACCGCGAGUCCUGGACUGAGGGGUACGACGUGGACGACCCAGUGAGCGGCGACGGCGACUACGAAACGGUUCAAUCCAUCACCAGGGCUCUGAGACGGAAUAUCUGCCCAUCAACUCACAGAAUCAACAGAGCUGACUGCGAUGUCGACAACGGUGACGUCGACGACAUCGUGAGGGAAGACAGUCUGGCAUUGCCCUGCUCCACUGCGGGUCUAGCCUGCAGGAAUAGUGACCAGACUUCCGGAAUAUGCAAUAACUACAGAAUAAGAUUCUUCUGUCAACCACUAAACAGGGUCCACACGGAAGGAGACACGACACAAGACGAGGACGAGGAAAGGAAUGGUACAAGAAGCGUCCCCCGAUUUGACAUGCGCAUAUUUACAUCGUCCUCGCGGCUAUUCCGGUCGUCAUCAUCCUGUUCCGUAUUUGCUGCUCAUGCACCUUAGAGAAGCGACGUCGCCGGAACACACGUUGUACGCGUGCGCGACGUCCAGCUCAAGACGAGGAGGCGGUUCAUCCGGAAGUGUUUCUUCCUCCGCCGAGCUAUCAGGAACUAUUUGGCUUGAAUGGAGGGCCUUUCUUGUUAUCUCGACAUUUUUCUUUGUGCAGAAAGUGCAAAUCUUCCCAAUGUGGAAUUUUUAGAGACAGACAUUUGAUAAAUCUUGACUCUGAAACAUCUAACGAAUCUCUUUCUACUUCAUCUGAAGAUGAGCCGGACGUCAUGAUAACAUCGGAAAUCACGUCUUCAUCCGCGGGGUCUCCGUCAUUUUCGAGAUCAAGCUCGCUCAGUAAAAGCAAUUCUUCCGAAAGCAGUGCCUCCACAACGAACACAGACGCCGAGGCUCCCACCUCUCAAACAGUCCAGCCUGCUCAGUGUGACUGCCCUUGCCAUAAACAAGCACCGGAAGUCAGUGUUUAUGACAAUCCCGCAUAUGAACCGGAAGUAGAGAUAAAGAAUGGCCGAUCAUCACGGAUACCGGGGAUGCAUUUGCCUGUAUUCUCUUUAUUUAGGUCCACAUCUGCUUCCUCCGUGGAAGAAGCCCCACCUCCAACCUACAAGGAAGCUGUGACAAUAUUGAAACUGAACGAAAACGGCUCUCGUUGAAACACUGUUGUUUGUUCGUCAGAAACACAUGCGGGCAUGUCCAGCUAUCUCGUAUUGAUAUUCAGGGCUGGUCCUUGAAAUAUGAAAAGCCCAU
rnacentral:lncRNA from 1 species